AUAGGAGUUCUCAGGCAGCUUCAAUGGAAGGAGGGAGCCAAGAAGGGGGCCUGGUAUACAUUCAAAGAUGAUAAUUACGACAUGGAUUGUGUAUAUUCUUGCUCGGAAAGGUGUAGGGCUUCCCUUCCUACCAAUAACCAGUUCGGACAUUGACGUUGUGGAAAGUGAGGCUGUGUCUGUACUACAUCAUUGGUUGAAAAAAACAGAAGAAGAGGCUUCUCGGGGCAUAAAGGAAAAGCUGUCCAUCAACCACCCUUCCCAGGGUGUAAGGGAGAAGAUGUCCACUGACUCCCCUCCCACCCAUGGCCAGGACAUCCACGUGACCAGAGAUGUGGUGAAGCACCACCUCUCUAAGUCUGAUUUGUUGGCAAACCAGAGCCAAGAGGUCCUAGAGGAGAGAACACGAAUCCAGUUCAUAAGAUGGAGCCACACUCGUAUCUUCCAAGUGCCAAGUGAGAUGACAGAGGACAUCAUGCGAGAUCGAAUAGAGCAGGUGAGACGAAGCAUAUCCCGUCUUACAGAUGUCUCAGCUCAGGACUUCAGUAUGAGACCCUCCUCCUCAGACUGCUGAGAGCAACAGAUGGAGCUUUGGGAACGCGGAGAACAGUGGGGUUACAGGGAGUCAUCAUCAGCCCUACCCCUUGGCCAACCACAUCUCCCUGCUGUGUCCCCUGGGCAUUUCUCUACCUCCCAGGUGGAAGUCCUUCAGGGUCCAGCAGCAACCUGUAUCAGAAGAACAUCCUUCUCUGCUUGACCUGAAGAAGGGCCAGACCUGGGCAGAAAGACUCCAGCAGCAGAGACAGGAAACAGGAUGUGCAGGAAUGUUAAAGCAGGAAGUGAUUUUACACGUGGAGACAGGCUGUGCCAAAGGACGGCGGCAGAGAGCCCAGGAAGGAUCCACUGGGCAGUGGCAG